rnacentral:lncRNA from 1 species
AUGAAAGGAGGGAGAAAGGCUUUGCAGCAGCAGCCCUUUUCCACCGAGAUGCUAACGGAAAGUGUCCUUUAUUUCCAGGAGAGGCUGCCGGAUGCCUGUCUGGUGUUGCAGCUUGCUAAUAGCCCGGUUGUUAAGGAUGUUAAGGCUGGUGGUGCAGGGCCCAGGGGAGCAGCCCUGUCAUGCCCCGGUGACGCUGUGCCUCCUGCCUCCUGCAGCCUCACCGGGCCGGGAGCAGAGCUGGGGCAGCUCCAGCAGCCCAGCCCCAAGCCCCACAUUUCUGCUGCUCUUGCAAAGACAGCAGCGCUGCUCGUGGGCUGCCCCCGUGCUGCUGCUUCGCCGGCGGGGUUGCUGCAGGAGCUGUGCCGCUGGGAGGGUGGAGAAGAGAAACACCGAACUUCUGAGCCAUGCAGCGACCCCUGGGCAGCCCGCACCCAGGGGUGCGGGGUGGGAGCCCGGCUUGCCAAAGCGCACCAAACCCUGACCAAAAGCUUCGUUCCCUUUGCCCCUUAUCACCCAUCCAGAUUAUCCACGCAGCACUUACAAAAUUGCUGUUGGACACUAUAUUUACAUAAACACGUUAGCCCAUGGGGUCUAAAGCCCCGGCGAGCUCUAAAUGGUGUAUUAGGUUGUAGGAAGAGGAUUUUAUCAAUUUACUGAGAGCACAAAUCAACAGAGCAGAAUUUACAAACCCAUCAAAAGCGAGGUGACAGUUCGGAAUUAAUCCUCUGCCCGAGGCACACAAUGUACCUCCACAAACAUCUCACAGCAUAAAUAUAGUUGAGAAAUAGCGAAGGAAAACGUAACUCCUAAUGCCUUUGUACGCUGCCAGCGAAACGGCUGCGGCAUCGUCCGGGAGAUGAAUGGGGCUAAUGCCAUUGGAAAGGUGCUGUUGCAUCCCACUUUAUUUUUAUCCGAGACUCCGUCCCCAGCCUGCGCUGUUACAGGGAAAUAUUUCAAUUUGUCUUUGUGCUGUAUUCAGAGUUGUCCCAAAAUAAAUUUCCCCUGAUAGUUUUUCUUCCUCA